AAUAUUGGGACAUAUAAAAAAAGACAACUCUGUUCCGCAGAGUAGCUAUUGACAUUAUAUUUGUGCAGGAACUUUGCUGACUCUAGAGAACCUCGGGCAAAUCGCACAUCCCUGUGGCGGCGACUUUGCAUGCGGAUGUCAUCCAUAUCAACUUUCGAUGCCAGUUUCUGCGCCUACCAUGGUGACCACGGGUAACAGGGAAUCAGGGUUCCAUUCGUACAGGGACCCUGAGAAAUGGCUACCACAUGCAAGGAAGGCAGCAGGCGCGCAAAUGACCCACUCCUGACGUGGGAAGGUAGUGA